UACGGAAGGCAGCAGUGGGGAAUAUUGCACAAUGGGCGCAAGCCUGAUGCAGCCAUGCCGCGUGUAUGAAAAAGGCCUUCGGGUUGUAAAGUACUUUCAGUCGUGAGGAAGGUGUUAAGGUUAAUAACCUUAGCAAUUGACGUUAGCGACAGAAGAAGCACCGGCUAACUCCGUGCCAGCAGCCGCGGUAAUACGGAGGGUGCGAGCGUUAAUCGGAAUUACUGGGCGUAAAGGGCACGCAGGCGGUUAAUUAAGUUGGAUGUGAAAUCCCCGGGCUUAACCUGGGAAUGGCAUUCAAGACUGGUUAGCUAGAGUCUUGUAGAGGGGGUAGAAUUCCAUGUGUAGCGGUGAAAUGCGUAGAGAUGUGGAGGAAUACCGGUGGCGAAGGCGGCCCCUGGACAAAGCUGACGCUCA
rnacentral:rRNA from 1 species